rnacentral:rRNA from 1 species
CAGCCGCCGCGGUAAUACGAAAGGGGCUAGCGUUGUUCGGAUUUACUGGGCGUAAAGCGCACGUAGGCGGACUUUUAAGUCAGGGGUGAAAUCCCGGGGCUCAACCUCGGAACUGCCUUUGAUACUGGAAGUCUUGAGUAUGGUAGAGGUGAGUGGAAUUCCGAGUGUAGAGGUGAAAUUCGUAGAUAUUCGGAGGAACACCAGUGGCGAAGGCGGCUCACUGGACCAUUACUGACGCUGAAGUGCGAAAGCGUGGGGAGCAAACAGGAUUAGAUACCCCUGUAGUCCCUGUCUCUUAUAC